CCCCCCCCCCCCAAAAGGGACAUCUGAUGGAAAGAAGGUUAAUAUUCCUUCACCUGCUAUGCAUUAAAAGUGACGCAGGGACGUGGUGGUUGCGUACGGACGGAAGUGUACGCCUGAGUGGAGUCUUCGGACAAAGCGAAACCAUAAAAUCCCUGCCAAGAAAAGCGAGCAUAGCAGCCAGUACCGGAAUCCGACACAGGUAGACGGGAUGAGUAUUCUAACGCGCUCGGGUGAGCCGUGGAGAAGGAACUAGGCAAAUUAACGCUGUAACUUCGGGAUAAAGCGUACCGCAGCGAUGCGGUCACAGUAAAAUGGUACAACCAACUGUUUAACAAAAACACAGGGCCCUGCAAAAACGAAAGUUGACGUAUAGAGCCUGAAACCUGCCCGGUGCUGGAAGGUUAAGGAAGGGUGUUCGACGCAAGUCAAAGCUCCUGACUGAAGCCCCAGUAAACGGCGGCCGUAACAAUAACGGUCCUAAGGUAGCGAAAUUCCUUGUCGGGUAAGUUCCGACCUGCACGAAUGGUCUAAUGAGUUGUACACUGUCUCCUCCACGAGCCCGGUGAAAUUGUAGUAUCGGUGAAGAUGCCGGUUACCCGCCACGGGACGGAAAGACCCCGUGAACCUUCACUACAACUUUGCAUUGAUUUUGAGCCACAAAUGUGUAGGAUAGUUGGGAGACUUUGAAGCAGCAUCGCCAGGUGUUGUGGAGUCAUCGUUGAAAUACCAACCUUUUGUUGCUUAGAACCUAACCCCUAACCGGGGACAGUGCAUGGUGGGUAGUUUGACUGGGGUGGUCGCCUCCUAAAAAGUAACGGAGGCUCGCAAAGGUACCCUCAGUACGGUUGGUAAUCGUACGAAGAGCGCAUUAGUAAAAGGGUGCUUGACUGUGAGACAAACACGUCGAGCAGGAGCGAAGGCUGGCUAAAGUGAUCCGGUGUUUCUGUAUGGAAGGGACAUCGCUCAAAGGAUAAAAGGUACUCCGGGAUAACAGGCUGAUCUUACCCAAGAGCUCAUAUCGACGGUAAGGUUUGGCACCUCGAUGUCGGUUCGUCACAUCCUGGGGCUGGAGAAGGUCCCAAGGGUUCGGCUGUUCGCCGAUUAAAGUGGCACGUGAACUGGGUUCAGAACGUCGCAAGACAGUUCGGUCCCUAUCUGUGGUGGGCGCUAGUAAAUUGAGUGGACAUGACCUUAGUACGAGAGGACCGGGUCGUACGUGCCGCUGGUGUAUCUGUUAUGCCGCCAGGUGUAAUGCAGAGUAGCUACGCACGGCAAGGAUAAACGCUGAAAGCAUCUAAGCGUGAAACCUUCCACAAGAUGAGUUUACUUUUAAGGGUCGUCAAAGACUAUGACGUUGAUAGGCUAUAGGUGUAAAACUGGUAACAGUAAAGCCAAGUAGUACUAAUUGCCCGUAAGCUUUACCAA
rnacentral:rRNA from 1 species